rnacentral:rRNA from 1 species
UACAGAGGGUGCGAGCGUUAAUCGGAAUUACUGGGCGUAAAGCGCACGUAGGCGGCUUGGUAUGUCGGUUGUGAAAUCCCCGGGCUCAACCUGGGAACUGCAUCCGAAACUGCCUUGCUCGAGUAUGGGAGAGGGAAGCGGAAUUUCCGGUGUAGCAGUGAAAUGCGUAGAUAUCGGAAGGAACAUCAGUGGCGAAGGCGGCUUCCUGGACCAAUACUGACGCUCAGGUGCGAAAGCGUGGGGAGCAAAC